rnacentral:rRNA from 1 species
GACGAACGCUGGCGGCGUGCUUAACACAUGCAAGUCGAACGGAAAGGCCCUGCUUUUUUGGGGUGCUCGAGUGGCGAACGGGUGAGUAACACGUGAGUAACCUGCCCUUGACUUUGGGAUAACUUCAGGAAACUGGGGCUAAUACCGGAUAGGAGCUCCUGCUGCAUGGUGGGGGUUGGAAAGUUUCGGCGGUUGGGUAUGGACUCGCGGCUUAUCAGCUUGUUGGUGGGGUAGUGGCUUACCAAGGCUUUGACGGGUAGCCGGCCUGAGAGGGUGACCGGCCACAUUGGGACUGAGAUGAGGCCCAGACUCAUACGGGAGGCAGCAGUGGGGAAUAUUGCACAAUGGGAGGAAGCAUGAUGCAGCAACGCCGCGUGCGGGAUGACGGCCUUCGGGUUGUAAACCGCUUUCGCCUGUGACGAAGCGUGAGUGACGGUAAUGGGUAAAGAAGCACCGGCUAACUACGUG